UACAGAGGUCCCGAGCGUUGUUCGGAUUCACUGGGCGUAAAGGGUGCGUAGGUGGUUGGGUAAGUUUGAUGUGAAAGCUCAGGGCUUAACCCUGAAAUGGCAUUGAAUACUACUUAACUGGAGGUUUGGAGGGGGACUGGAAUUCUUGGUGUAGCAGUGAAAUGCGUAGAUAUCAAGAGGAACACCAGUGGCGAAGGCGAGUCCCUGGACAACACCUGACACUGAGGCACGAAAGCUAGGGGAGCAAACAGG
rnacentral:rRNA from 1 species